GCCAGGUGUGGUGGCGGGCGCCUGUAAUCCUAGCUACUUGGGAGGCUGAGGCAGGAGAAUCGCUUGAGCCCAGGAAGCAGAGGCUGCAGUGAGCCAAGAUUGCACCACUGCACGGCAGCCUGGGCAACAGAGUGAGACUCUGUCUCAA
rnacentral:SRP_RNA from 1 species